rnacentral:lncRNA from 1 species
AUGGGGGCACUGGCCUAUCACCAUCUCUUGGAAAGCCCCUGGCCUAAAGAAAGAAGUGAUAUGUGCCCAGGCCUAUUCCUGAACCUUGAAGAUCCUGGGCCAAAAGCAAGGAGUGAUGUGGGCCUGGGCCUAUCCCUGAUCCUUGAAGAGGCCCAGGCAAAAGCAAAAAGUGAUGUAGGCCUUGCCUAUCGCUGACCCUUGAAGAGGCCUGGGCCAAAAGCAAGGAGGGAUGUGGACCUGGGACUACACCUUACCCUUGAAGAGGCCCAGGCCAAAAGAAAGAAGUGAAGAGGGCCUGGACCUAUCCCUGAACCUUGAAGAGGCCGUGGCCAAAAAGAUGAAUUAUUUUUGGCCUGUGUCUCUCCAGGACCCUUGAGGAGGCCUGGUCCAAAACAAGAAGUCAUGUUGACCUGGGCCUAUCCCUGACUUUGAGAUGCCCGGGCCAAAAGCAAGAAUUGAUGAGGGCCUGGGCCUCUCCUAGACCAUUGAAAAGGCCCAGGCCUAAUGUAAGAAAUGAUAUGGCUCUGGGUCUAUCCCAGAUCUUUAAAGAAUCCUGGCCUAAAGAAAGAAGUGAUGUGGGCUUGGGACUAUGCCUGACCCUUGAAGAGGCCCAGGACAAAAGCAAGAAGUGAUAUUGCCUGGCCCUAUCCCUGAACCUUGAAGAGGCCAAGGCCAAAAAGAAGAAAUGAUGCUGGCCUGUGCCUAUCCCUGACCGUUGAAGAGGCCAGGGCUAAAUGAAAAAUGUGAUGUGGGCCUGGAUCUAUCCCUGACAUUUGAAGAGUCCCAAGCCGAAAAACAAAAAGUAAUGUGGGCCUGGACCUAACCCUGUCCCGUGAAGUGGUCCAGACCAAAAGCCAAAAACAUGAGGUCCUGGGCUAAAAGCAACAAGUGAUGUGGUCCUGGGGCUAUCCCUGAAAUUUAAUGAGGCAUGGGCCCAAUACAAGAUGUGAGUUGAUCCUGGGCCUAUGCCUGACCCUUGAAGAGGUCCCCGCUAAAAGCAAGAAGUGAUUAGGGCAUGGGCCUAUCCAUGACCUUUGAAUAGGCCCCUGGCCAAAACCAAGAAUUGAUGAGGGCCUGGGCCUAUCCCUGACCUUUGAAGAGACCUGUG